UACGAGUGCUCCAAGCGUUAUCCGGAAUCAUUGGGCGUAAAGGGUGUGUAGGUGGUUGUGUUAGUCUUUUGUUAAAUUCUUCGGCUUAACCGGGGGCUUGCAUAAGAAACGGCACAACUAGAGGAUGCGAGAGGUAUAUGGAACUCAUGGAGUAGGGGUGAAAUCCGUUGAUAUCAUGGGGAACACCAAAAGCGAAGGCAAUAUACUGGCGCACUCCUGACACUGAGACACGAAAGCGUGGGUAGCGAAUGGG
rnacentral:rRNA from 1 species